rnacentral:lncRNA from 1 species
GGUGACUGGCCCAGGAAUUGGGAACAGCUUAGAGUGGCCAUGGAACCUCGAGUCCUCUCCUUCUUGCUAAUGGCUAAAUUCACACCAGAAGCCAUGUUGUGUAUAUAUUUUUUUAUCUUCUACAGAAUCCGGCAAGACUUUGAAUGCCGGAUACAUACUCUGAGCUUCUCUCGCUAGAGCAGAAAGGACACAGCAUUGGCCGGGCAGCAUGUUUGUUUGUUUGCCCUGAGUCCUGGGGCAGCUAGUUAUCUUGGGCAGAGUUAGUUUUCGGGUCUGGAGCCAGGAAAACACACUCCUUAAUGCCCACAUAUUUGCAGUGCGACACAUAGCUUGGAAGCUUGUCACACCUAUUGCAACCGCUGCGUGACUUGUCUCCCAGGAAAGAUUGUCUCCAUGAGAUAUUCUUAGGGAUGAAUGCGGUGAGAAACGUGUACACCACUCGGGACAGCAGCCACAUAACUUCAGAGGUUCGUCCUCUCACAGGCCCCUGCAGUCUGGGCUGUGCCGGUGGUCUGCCUAGGAAACUGCCUUCAGUACGCAGGGGACUGUGAGUUGCCCAGUAGCUGCAUUUGAGAAUCAAAGCAAAGAUUUCAGGCAGCGAUAGGCUGUUUGUCUGGAGACGGGCGUGGAGACUGCUUUCAUGUCCUCCUGCUGAAGGAAUAGAAGGCAGGAUGAACUCAGACUGAAUGGCUGGCUCUGAUAUGUGUUUGAAUGAAAACCAAAGUAAACACCACCAUUUCACCAAUGGCACACAGAUGGACUCCUGCUUGACACCACGAGAGGAAAACUAAAAAUGAAAUCAGCCAGAAU